CAGACCCAGUGUUCCCCACACCUCAACACAGUAAGACAGACUACAGACCCAGUGUUCCCCACACCUCAACACAGUAAGACAGACCCAGUGUUCCCCACACCUCAACACAGACUACAGACCCAGUGUUCCCCACACCUCAACACAGUAAGACAGACUACAGACCCAGUGUUCCCCACACCUCAACACAGUAAGACAGACUACAGACCCAGUGUUCCCCACACCUCAACACAGACUACAGACCCAGUGAUCCCCACACCUCAACAGACUACAGACCCAGUGUUCCCCACACCUCAACACAGACUACAGACCCAGUGUUCCCCACACCUCAACACAGACUACAGACCCAGUGUUCCCCACACCUCAACACAGUAAGACAGACCCAGUGUUCCCCACACCUCAACACAGACUACAGACCCAGUGUUCCCCACACCUCAACACAGUAUGACAGACUACAGACCCAGUGUUCCCCACACCUCAACACAGUAAGACAGACUACAGACCCAGUGUUCCCCACACCUCAACACAGACUACAGACCCAGUGAUCCCCACACCUCAACAGACUACAGACCCAGUGUUCCCCACACCUCAACACAGACUACAGACCCAGUGUUCCCCACACCUCAACACAGACUACAGACCCAGUGUUCCCCACACCUCAGUAAGACAUGUACACUGACCUUCACCCUCCUCAGGAUCCCAGUGAAAACCAACAGCCUCCUUCUGGAUACAAAGCAAUCCAUCUUUAUUAAAACGUUUCAACUUGUUAGGAUGAAGAGAGAUGACAGGUGAUGAGACGUUCGUGCUCCAGCUUCGACUAGUGGAAAGUCAUGUUGUAUGUUUGAGAAGGGUGAUUCCCCGCUGCUUCCCUGCUGGUUAAUACCUAUAUGUACAACGUUACCACAGUCUUCCUCAGCUUCCUCCUACACAAUACUACAACCAAAGAGCACCACUGGUGAAAAUAUUUACAGACAGACAAUGUACAUUUUAGGUGUUUUUCCUUUAUGCCAUCUUUUUUAAAACAUUAAAGCAUUUGAAACUCUGUAGGUGAAAGUAGCCUCUCAGUGUGUAUCGUUGUCCUCGUCCCGUUCUACAGCACAACAGCCCCGAGUCACACAGCUGAGAGGACAGAUCCACAGACCCACUGGCUCUGACCUGUCAGGAAACUGACCUGGAGUCAGGGUGCGCAUCACAAAUACCACCUUAUUCCCUAUAUAGUGCACUAGUUUUGACCAGAGCUUUUGGCCAUAGGUCUCUGGUCAACAGUAAUCACCUACAUAAUGAAUAGGUUGCUAUUUGGGAUACACCCUUAGUCAGACCUGACCAGCUACAGGAGGUACUAAGGAAGUGACAACAACAACAACAACACCACCACAGUAAAACAAGAUGGAGGAAUCUGACCACAGAACAGAUAUUAUGUGAAGACACUGUGAAAGAGUCGUACCAGAAUGCUGCCUUUUGAAAAAAUAAACAUGUUGCCUUUGAAUAGUAUCCUGCCUGAUUCAGAACUAGCCUUUCACCCAGGGUAUAACAUCAAUCAACAGGUGAAUCAGAACUAGCCUUUCAUCCCAGGGUAUAACAUCAAUCACCAGGUGAAUCAGAACUAGCCUUUCAUCCCAGGGUAUAUCAACAGGUGAAUCAGAACUAGCCUUUCAUCCCAGGGUAUAUCAUCAAUCAACAGGUGAAUUAGAACUAGCCUUUCAUCCCAGGGUAUAUCAUCAAUCAACAGGUGAAUCAGAACUAGCCUUUCAUCCCAGGGUAUAACAUCAAUCAACAGGUGAAUCAGAACUAGCCUUUCAUCCCAGGGUAUAACAGGUGAAUCAGAACUAGCCUUUCAUCCCAGGGUAUAACAUCAAUCAACAGGUGAUUCAGAACUAUCCUUUCAUCCCAGGGUAUAUCAUCAAUCAACAGGUGAUUCAGAACUAGCCUUUCAUCCCAGGGUUUAUCAUCAAUCAACAGGUGAAUCAGAAGUUGCAGUCUGUAGUAAAAGUGGUCAACAAGACAAGAGGAAGAAACCAACCGUUCAUAAAUUCACAGGAAACUAUUAAAAUAAUUAUUUACAAAAUAACCAAUAUACUACAGAAAAAAACCUACUGCACACACCAGUACUUUUGGAGAAAAGAAAAAUAUAACUAUAUUUAAAUUAACUUUCUUCUUUUUUUUAAACAAUAUAAAAGCUAUGCUCAAAAGUGGCUUUUUCUUUUUAUAAAACAGUCCCAGGUCUUUUCAGUGUCCAUGUGAGAUGAGAGUUGCUGCUGGCAACGCGAGAAAAUAAAUACAUAUUUGUCUCGUCUGUCUUCCUUGGCGUGGAAAUAGUGUCUUCCUGGAUAUCAGACCUGUAGAGAGACCAGAGAACAGACUUACUACAGAGAUACUACAGCACCCAGACUUACAAUCAAAACACCACAGCUAGCCUGAAAUACAGACCUGUUUUGUGCUAACAUUCCACUGCUUGUACUCUUGUGUCAUUUGUUUGGCACGACAAGGAGAUAGAUGAAGGUUAACACAAAGAGACUGGUACCCAGGCUAUGUCACAAACAGCAGCAGCUUGGAGAAAUACAGGCUUCCAUACAGUAUAGACGAGCACAGCUCUUAGCCCAGGCUCCAUAUUCAC
rnacentral:lncRNA from 1 species